rnacentral:rRNA from 1 species
CACGUAGGGCGCAAGCGUUGUCCGGAAUUAUUGGGCGUAAAGAGCUCGUAGGCGGUCUGUUGCGUCCGCUGUGAAAACUCGGGGCUUAACCCCGAGCCUGCAGUGGAUACGGGCAGACUAGAGGUAGGUAGGGGAGAAUGGAAUUCCCGGUGUAGCGGUGAAAUGCGCAGAUAUCGGGAGGAACACCGGUGGCGAAGGCGGUCUGCUGGGCCAACACUGACGCUGAGGCGCGACAGCGUGGGGAGCAAACAGG